AUUCCUGGUGUAGCGGUGGAAUGCGCAGAUAUCAGGAGGAACACCGAUGGCGAAGGCAGAUCUCUGGGCCGUUACUGACGCUGAGGAGCGAAAGGGUGGGGAGCAAACAGGCUUAGAUACCCUGGUAGUCCACCCCGUAAACGUUGGGAACUAGUUGUGGGGGCUUUUCUACGGUCUCCGUGACGCAGCUAACGCAUUAAGUUCCCCGCCUGGGGAGUACGGCCGCAAGGCUAAAACUCAAAGGAAUUGACGGGGACCCGCACAAGCGGCGGAGCAUGCGGAUUAAUUCGAUGCAACGCGAAGAACCUUACCAAGGCUUGACAUAUUCGAGAACGGGCCAGAAAUGGUCAACUCUUUGGACACUCGUAUACAGGUGGUGCAUGGUUGUCGUCAGCUCGUGUCGUGAGAUGUUGGGUUAAGUCCCGCAACGAGCGCAACCCUCGUUCUCUGUUGCCAGCACGUAAUGGUGGGAACUCAGGGGAUACUGCCGGGGUCAACUCGGAGGAAGGUGGGGAUGACGUCAAAUCAUCAUGCCCCUUAUGUCUUGGGCUUCACGCAUGCUACAAUGGCCGGUACAAUGGGCUGCAAUACCGUGAGGUGGAGCGAAUCCCAAAAAGCCGGUCCCAGUUCGGAUCGUAGUCUGCAACUCGACUACGUGAAGUCGGAGUCGCUAGUAAUCGCAGAUCAGCAACGCUGCGGUGAAUACGUUC
rnacentral:rRNA from 1 species